CGUUAUUCACUUCUUUGGCGGGUUAUACCAGGACUACGUUAGAAACACUGGUUUACAAUAGUCAAUACAGAAUACAGGUUAGCAGAAUAACAAAAUAAACUUGAUAAAAUCCACACAAGUUAGCCUUUCAAGUUGGUCCUUUCGACAGCAAGUCGCAGCUCUUAACUCAACUAGAUUAAUAUAUGCAGCGUGCGUAUACCGUGCGAGGG